GUGUUGGUGCGACUACUUUAAUCUUCGCAUUACAAACUCUGCCCCUUGAUUGCAAACUUUUUCGGUCCUUGACGGCUAAUCCCAAGUGCCGAGAGUGUACCUUCCCUCUCCCGAUUUUAUAGAGCGGAUGUAAGAAGGAUUCGAGAUAAUGGAGACGAAUGUUGCACAAACAGAGCCCGAAACACAUGUAUGAAACGUGUAGAACGCCCUGGAAUUUACGAGUAUGAUGAGGCGGCAGGACGCGGCCCAGCUAAAUGGGAUCGCUUGACGAUGACUGCCGCUUGUGCAAUGUAAAGUUUCGUCCACCACUAGCGACACAAAAGACACUAGAAUAACUAGUGUAGAAUAUUCUAGAGUCUUUGACCGACACCCCUAGCAGUCACAGGAGAACAGGAACCCGAAAACGCUUUUUAUUGGAAACGCUUGGGAACAAAAAAUGAUUAUGCACUCAGACUAAAGAAGCCGUACAUUCCUUAUGAAACGUUGUAUGUGAGUCCUUAGCUGAGAAGAUAGUGAAACUAGUUUUUGGAUUG
ensembl:ncRNA lncRNA:CR45961 long non-coding RNA:CR45961